UAGGGAAUCUUCCACAAUGGGCGCAAGUCUGAUGGAGCAACGCCGCGUGAGUGAAGAAGGUCUUCGGAUCGUAAAACUCUGUUGUUAGAGAAGAACACGAGUGAGAGUAACUGUUCAUUCGAUGACGGUAUCUAACCAGCAAGUCACGGCUAACUACGUGCCAA
rnacentral:rRNA from 1 species